UUUUUUUUUAAUUUAAAACAUUUUCAUUAAAUAACCUGCCAUCAAACCCCACAACAAUUAACCACUGCAGUCGUCCAUACAGAUGCAGCAUUAGACAUCCAAAAUGGGAGGGCAGGAGGGAGAGGGCAACUUAACAGAUGGCUGUCGUAACACUGCAUAGCAAUAGGACAUUCUGAAACAUGACAUUUUAGAAAUCACAUAUAAGUGGUGAUAUGAAUGCUAGACUUAAAUAGUUUUGUUACCUGUUGGGCAGAGUAAAAAUAGAGCUUUUUAAGAGUACAUUGAUUUACCUGAAUAGAACAUUAGCCCAGUUUAUUGUAAAUGCACUACGAUGAGGGAGAAAAAUAUAUCUUCGAUAAUGGACAAACCUUGUAACCUUUAACUAUCUUGUUAUAUCCUACACAUACAUAUACAAUAUUUUUUAACAGUGAUCAGUGUUCAUGUAGUGUGUACUAGUGAUGUUUUAUGUCCCUAUAAAUAUCAGUGUAGAGAUGGUGAGCUUAGAGUAGUUUAGCUGUUUUUUUCCCUCUCCACACACACUACUGUAGUAGCCAGUAAAUGUUCUUUCAGGGGACUAUUUCUAUACCCUUCUUUUGUCUGUCUGUCUUCAUAUUACAGGGUCUCAGGUAAAUCUUCGGUUCAUGUGUGUCCAUAGAUCAGUAGAUGUGUUGUUUCAUCCUGUUGAAGAAAACAAAACCUAAACUUUAAUGUUACACUUCCACAAAUUGUUAACUUCUUUUCUCUCUCUCUGUGUAUAUAUAUAUGUAUAUUAAAUAUAUUAAUCAUUUUGCUGAACUUCCUUUUUCACGGGGCAAUUAGUGUUGCCAGUUCUAGGCACUGCUGGAGACCUUUAAUCCUCAUGCAGGACAAGCGAAGCGAGGGCAGAUUUUGCAACAUCUUGUGCUGGCCCUGAAUCUCCAACCCACGGGCUCUGUCAGUCCCUGUCUCACACAGCAGGAAGACUGGAUCCUUCUGUGAGCUUCUCUGCUUUAAAGCUGCUUUGCCUCCUAUUUUAAUGAGGGGCUUGUUGUUAACUUGGCUUUUAUUUUCCUAGGCACGUAUAAGAAGCCAUGCUCUGUUUGGUGUAAUGAAGGUCUGUAAAGACGAACUGGAAAUUCAGCUCCCAUGUCUAUACGGGGCUGAGGGGCCCUUUCUGGUUGAAGAAAGGGACCUAAGUCAGCACCUUUUAGUGAGAAUUGGGUAUUUUUGUCAGGAUAAAUAGCUUUAGGCCUCUCUUUACCAAUAUUACCUAGCAUCUUGGUUUGAUUUUUGGAGUCCAGGCCAGUUUUUCUUCACUACUACUGUGAUUGGGGAAAAAAAAAUAAUCCAUAGGUUUGUUCCUCUUUUUUUUUAAAAAAGGAAACACUCUCAAAUGGCUUAACAGUUCUGAAUCCUUUCACUUACUAACUUGUCUCAGGACAUGCAUUGGAACUGGGAUUAACUAAUUGCAAUAAAAUUACCUCAGUGUAAGGGUGUCAGUUACUGUCUACUUUAAGCAUAAAAGAGAGAUCAUUUGAAGGAAUACUGCUAGGUUAUGAUAGCUUUUAUUUGGCUUGGAUUACCAAAUCAAGAAUGCAUAUGAAAAAUCAAAUUGCUUUCCAUGAUUUAUGUAAUUAAUCUGCUUGCUUUUAAUUUAGAUGUUGUUCCUGUGCCUGCUAAGUCAUUAGCACAGGAUUAAGCUUGAUUUUGAAACUCCGAAAACAAGCGAUAGUGAUUUUGUUCUAGCUGGUAUUUGCAUUCAGCUUUGACCUCCAUUCCUAAGCUUGCAAAAACCUUUGGAGAGAGGGGACAAACGCAUACAAAAAUCACUGAAGGUCUGAAGUUUUUGCUGUAUGUUUAAAGCAGAUUUUUUUCUCACAUUAGACUUUUUUGAGAAGUAUUUUACUAGCCAAAUCUGAAUGUUGAGAUUAAAGUAACCAGCAGUGUCUUCUUUGAAUGAGAAGUAACCUUGAAGUUUGGAAUGCACUUCAUUUACCAUGUCCUAGGAAAAGUUUGCAUGUACUUCGAUAAUUUUCUAAAAUUAAAUUUUAGUAACUAAUUAAAUACCAGUAAAGAUAAAAAGAAAA
rnacentral:lncRNA from 1 species